GCCUAAUACAUGCAAGUCGAGCGGGCCUCCGGAGGUGCUUGCACCUCCGGAAGGCCAGCGGCGGACGGGUGAGUAACACGUGGGCAACCUGCCUUUAUCAGGGGGAUAGCCCGGGGAAACCCGGAGUAAUACCGCAUAACACAUGAUAAGGCAUCUGAUUAUGUUGCAAGAUUUAUAGGAUAGAGAUGGUCAUGCGUAGGAUUAGCGAGUUGGUGAGGUAACGGCUCACCAAGGCGACGAGCCUUAGGGGCUCUGAGAGGAGUACCCCCCACACUGGCACUGAGAUACGGGCCAGACUCCUACGGGAAGCAGCAGUAGGGAAUAUUGGGCAAUGGGCGAGAGCCUGACCCAGCCAUGCCGCGUGCAGGAAGACGGCCCUCUGGGUUGUAAACUGCUUUUGAAUGGGAAGAACGGUAUGCCUGCGGGCGUAAUUGACGGUACCAUUAGAAUAAGCCACGGCUAACUACGUGCCAGCCGCCGCCGUAA
rnacentral:rRNA from 1 species